rnacentral:rRNA from 1 species
UCCGUAGGCGGUGCGGCAAGUCGGAAGUGAAAUCUCAGGGCUUAACCCUGAGGCUGCUUCCGAAACUGCCGUGCUCGAGUGCGAGAGAGGCGAGUGGAAUUGCAGGUGUAGCGGUGAAAUGCGUAGAUAUCUGCAGGAACAUCCGAGGCGAAAGCGGCUCGCUGGAUCGCAACUGACGCUGAGGGACGAAAGCUAGGGGAGCAAACAGGAUUAGAUACCCUGGUAAGUCCUAGCCCUAAACGAUCAGGACUGGGCGUGGGCCUCGUACGGGCUCGUGCCGCAGCUAACGCGUUAAGUCCUGCGCCUGGGGAGUACGGUCGCAAAGGCUAGAAA